GAUCCGGACUCGAGCGCAAUAGCCGUCGCCUCCACCAAGAAGAAU
rnacentral:sRNA from 1 species